AGUGAACGCUGGCGGUAGGCCUAACACAUGCAAGUCGAACGGCAGCACAGUAAGAGCUUGCUCUUACGGGUGGCGAGUGGCGGACGGGUGAGGAAUACAUCGGAAUCUACUUUUUCGUGGGGGAUAACGUAGGGAAACUUACGCUAAUACCGCAUACGACCUACGGGUGAAAGCAGGGGAUCUUCGGACCUUGCGCGAUUGAAUGAGCCGAUGUCGGAUUAGCUAGUUGGCGGGGUAAAGGCCCACCAAGGCGACGAUCCGUAGCUGGUCUGAGAGGAUGAUCAGCCACACUGGAACUGAGACACGGUCCAGACUCCUACGGGAGGCAGCAGUGGGGAAUAUUGGACAAUGGGCGGAAGCCUGAUCCAGCCAUACCGCGUGGGUGAAGAAGGCCUUCGGGUUGUAAAGGCCUUUUGUUGGGAAAGAAAAGCAGCAGGUUAAUACCCCGCUGUUCUGACGGUACCCAAAGAAUAAGCACCGGCUAACUUCGUG
rnacentral:rRNA from 1 species